CACUAUGCUCAGCCAUAAACCUAGAUAAAAUUUUACAUCUAUUAUCCGCCAGGGUACUACGAGCGCUAGCUUAAAACCCAAAGGACUUGGCGGUGCUUCAAACCCACCUAGAGGAGCCUGUUCUAGAACCGAUGAUCCCCGUUAAACCUCACCCUCUCUUGUUUUUACCGCCUAUAUACCGCCGUCGUCAGCUUACCCUGUGAAGGUCCCAUAGUAAGCAUAAUCAGCACAACUCAAAACGCCAGGUCGAGGUGUAGCAUAUGAGGGGGCAAGAAAUGGGCUACAUUCCCUAAAUCCGGGCAUACGAAAAACAUAAUGAAAAAUAUGUCAUGAAGGAGGAUUUAGCAGUAAGCAAGAAAUAGAGAGUCUCGCUGAAACUGGCCAUGAAGCGCGUACACACCGCCCGUCACUCUCCCCGAAAAAACUAAACAAAUAUAUAAAACCCUAAUCUUAACAGAGGGGAGGUAAGUCGUAA
rnacentral:rRNA from 1 species